CCUAAGUUAUAAAAAUUGUUAUCCCAUGCCCUAGCUCCCACACCGCCGAAUCCCUUUUUCCUUCUCUUCAUCUCGCGAUGCCACCCUCCCAAAUCCUUCGCAGAACCUUUCUCCCCAAUCCAUCACCUCUCCUCUUCUCUCCCGAGCCGCACACCACUGCGCUCUCCUUCUUCCCCCUCUCAUCUCUUCCACGAGCCUGCUCCACCUGGUCGCCACGGCCGACGCCAGCAGAUGAGAGCCACCCGAGCGCAACCAAGGGUCGUCUCUCCAGUCCUCUUCUUCCUUCCUCUCUGCCCUAUAGCGAUCAUCAUCGUUCCCUCUUCCCUAGAGCGAUCGUCGCUGAAGCCACUGCCCUAGCCGGAAACCCUUUCUGUUUCCGAGCAACCGAAGUCGGCACCACUUUUGAUCAACCAAUAGUUGCAGAUCUGAAGCCAUCCUGCACCGGCAAGCCGCUGCUCCACGACGGCGCACUCACCACCGGCUGUCAACAGUAAUUUCCAGACCUAGUGCCAUCGUUGAUUUGCUUGGCCAUCGUGAGUGUCCACCAGAGUUAAAGCUGCCGAAGGAUUUGAGGUGAUGAGCAGUUCAGUAGUCGAUCGAUAUUACUCCUGAUCUUCUAUUACCUAACCUAGGAUAUGGUUUCAGUUUUUCUUUCGCCAGGUAGUAGGUAAAUGAAUCAAGGAUGCUUGGAGAGUCCUGGUUGCCAGUCCUACGUCACAUUCGAGGACAGUUUUUCUUUUCAAUCUUAUUUUCUAUUUGAGUGGUGUAGUGCUUUUGCGAGUUUGCGUUGUAAUUAGUUGAUGUGGAUUUUGGAGUUUAGUCUAGUGAUUGCAGGUAUUUUGGGUAAUUGUUUUGUUGGUUUUACAUUCAUAUAUUUUCUUUGUGAUUUCCAUUAUGUUUACUUUCA